CUCGAGAGAGGCUCCUCUCUUCGUCUGCUUUCUGCUGAAGUGCAGUAGCGAAAUGUGCACGAUGGCAAAGGAUGAUUUCCUGAUCCCAGACAUCAGUAAGGAUUCCACAACAAAGAUACCUGGAAGCACUGAUGAGGAACGUCGGUAACCUUUCACUAUGCAGCAGCUUGAUACAGAUCACUGACCAGCUGCUAAGAGGGGUCCUGACUGUCGUGUCGCUGACUGACUUUGAUUUUGAUUCCAAAAUCAACUGUACUACUGCAAAUCAGACUGUUGAUGAUAACUCUGAUUUCGCCUUGUCUGUAAAAUAAAUAAAUGUCAGUACUGGUCUGCUAAUCUCUCCCAGUUUGUACGUAUUACAGUAUAGCAAUGGUCUUAAUGACACAUAGAAGGAAUGUGUAAGCACAGUUUUGCAGUUUCUCAAAAGAGAAUCUGAGCCCUUACGUCUGUCUGGAGAAGCCUGAAAUUGCUCUCAAAGCUCACUGAAGUUGUUACCUUAUUUUAACUGAGAUCCAGGGAAACUAGCAUGUCUGAGUCCAAAUGUCAACGGGCUCAAUUAGCACUCACUGUCAC
ensembl:lncRNA